GACGUAGGGCGCGAGCGUUGUCCGGAUUUAUUGGGCGUAAAGAGCUCGUAGGCGGCUUGUCGCGUCGAAUGUGAAAACCCGAGGCUCAACUUCGGGCUUGCAUUCGAUACGGGCAGGCUAGAGUUCGGUAGGGGAGACUGGAAUUCCUGGUGUAGCGGUGAAAUGCGCAGAGUAUCAGGAGGAACACCGGUGGCGAAGGCGCUGCUCGUGGGCCGGUACUGACGCUGAGGAGCGAAAGCGUGGGGAGCGAACAGG
rnacentral:rRNA from 1 species